AAUGGACUACGUAGUUGUCUCAGAGUGGAGUGAUAGGCUUCCAGAAGAUUCCCUUUUUUCUUUUUAUUUUUAUUUUUGUUUUGGCGGUAAAAUGCCAGUUUAUUUAUUACUCCUCUAAUUGUAUUAUAAGGUCUCGUUUGGAUGGGUAUCAGCCAUGAGGCUGAAAGAUUUGUAAACAAAUAUGAGAAGAUAAGUAGUGCAUUGUGGUGUCUCCAGGUGUCACAUUGAGGUGAGAGAUUGUUUUGGUAACUAUUUUU
rnacentral:lncRNA from 1 species